UACAGAGGGUGCAAGCGUUGUUCGGAAUUAUUGGGCGUAAAGCGCGUGUAGGCGGCCUAGCAAGUUGGGUGUGAAAGCCCUCGGCUUAACCGAGGAAGUGCGCCCAAAACUACAAGGCUUGAGUGCCGGAGAGGGUGGCGGAAUUCCCGGUGUAGAGGUGAAAUUCGUAGAUAUCGGGAGGAACACCAGUGGCGAAGGCGGCCACCUGGACGGUAACUGACGCUGAGCACGCGAAAGCGUGGGGAGCAAACAGG
rnacentral:rRNA from 1 species